CGAUUUCUUUUCGGGCACGUAGUGGGAACAAACGGCAUGGCCAUUGAAGUAUUGCGAACUCGUCCGUCAGAGACCAACGCUGAUUCAACCCGA
rnacentral:sRNA from 1 species